GCUGAGAGCUGAUUAUGUGAACAAAGGCAUACAGAUUCUGGAAUCGGAUAAGGAGGGUGACAAGAUAAAUUCAAUGAGGUGUGGCGGCAAAUGAGGGAAACAGAAGAGGACAGAAAGCUUUGGGGGAAGUGGAUCCAGUGGGAGGAGUGAUGGGAAAGGGUUAAAAGCAGAAUGAUAAGCAGUUGGGGGAUAAGGUGGAGAGAAGGGGAUAAGAGAGGGAACCAGGGUAGAUAAGAGGAUAGAUAGGUGCCGUUGGUUUGUGAACUACCCAGGUGGAAUACAAGGUGCUGUUCCUCUAGUUUGUGUUUAGCCUCAUCCUGGCAGUGGAGGAGGCAGAGGAUGGACAGCUCAGUAUGACUCAUGUAUCUACUUCAACUCAGUGGUUUUGAUCUUUGAUUGCGGAUGUCAAAUGGCCCUCAGGACUUUACUGAUUAGUAAUCAACUAAUGUGUACCAAGCUCCAAAUGUAUAAAUGAAAAAUUCCAGAGCGUUGUGUUGUCUAGUACUUCAUGUUCUAUAUUUUAGCAAUUAUUUAAAAACAGAUCCAGGAACUCUAUCAAACAAUCUAAUAGGAACUGUAUCCUGAGAGGAGUAUCCAACUAACCAGACCUUUCAGUCAACUUGGCUGAGCAUGUGCCUUCUUCACUUGUUAUUUGCUAAUCAGUGUGUUGCUUCAGAUCCCAACUGCAACUAACAUCUUUUCUUGUUAGUUCCCACAAUGGAUUGGGUGAUUUUGGCGAAAUCAGGCACAAUCCUUUACCAUUCCCAGUAGGCUUCUUACCUCACUUGGGCUGCAUGGAGCACUGAUAUCCAAGUAUGCCAAUUAAGAUUGCAGGGUAGUUUUGAAAUUCUGCUGAAGAAAUUCCAUUAUUACAUUGUCAAAGCGUCCACAUUCUCAGAUAUAUACCUGGAUUCAGGAGCCGAUUCUAUGUUAUUCUUCCAUGAGGUCAAGUUUCAAAAAAAAA